CCACCCCACACACGCACCCCCAAGAAAACCACCCCGCCCGCAGUCCUCCCGUCGCCGCCGCCGUCCUCUCGAUCCCAUCGAUCCCAUCUAUCAUUGCCGCCGUCGAGGGGGAGCCGCCGCCGCCGCCUCUGCAAGGCAGCGCGGUUUGAAUCCCGCAACCGCCGAACUCUGGGAGAUGCCGUCGCCGCCUCUCCAGGGCAGGGCGGUUUCAGUCCCUGCCGCCGAACUCCGGAAGACGCCGCCGCCACCGAACUCCAUGACCCAUGGCUGCCACACAUCUUCCUCCACGCACGGCCGCACCCCCACCCCUUUUUCUUCCCUCCCUCCGGCCUUCAUCUCUACCCGUCCCACUCCUCGGCCUUCAAUGGUGAUCCGCUGCCUCCCGCUCCUCGUGCUCCGAUCUGACAACUGAUCCACCGCCGCGCCUCGGAUACGUCGCGACGCCUCGGAUACCGGCGACCGGCGGUGAUCUGAGACCAACGAGUCGGCACCACAUCCCUGAUCUUCAGAACACCGAGCGAAAUAUUGGCUUGGAACGAUCUUGGGUUGGCAGGGCGGCCAGACCAGGUGGAAAAUGUGGUGCACGAGUCAACCUCACAUCAUACUGUGGUGUCUAGGAUGGGCGUGGUGUAACAUGACGCUUUCUAGAAGCAUGUUAUCGAACAUCUCCACAGAAUCCCGAGCUUGCCUAAUUCCAAAAGCAUGUUAUCAUAAGGAUGAGUAUGGAGGACAACUCUCUCAAUUCCCAAAGCACUAAUCUUGUCCUAAUUGCUCAUAUAUUGAAUCACUUUUCGCUGCAAAUAUGUUUUCUGUUUGAUGAGCUAGAAGAUGCUUGGAGGCUAAGUACAAAGAGGAUCUAACGUUCACGUUUUUGGGAGGCAAUAACUACUUUGUGCACUUUGGCUGUGGAUAUGGGUACACAUUCUUGAUGUCUCGAUGAAUUGGAGAACAGAUGUAAUGGUAUAUGCUCUAUGCAAGGACAUGAGAACAAUCCUCCAAAUUGAACUACGUGAUGGGAGAGUAGUUAGGAAACUUUGUUUGUGUACGGGUUGCUUUUCCUCUAUAUAGCGGGCGCUGGAAAUUUCAGUUGCGAUGAUAGCAAGGAUCAAGGAAAAGAGAACAAGGGUGGGGCUUAAACUUCAGUACGAGCGCUUGCCGUGGUUCUGCUAUGCAUGUGGCUACAUCGGGCAUCAGGUCAUGUCUUGUGCGCGUAAGUUCAGGUGGUGAACCUGUAUGCUGACGACUGCGAUGCUUACCACUGAGGAAGUUCGUGCAGCAAGUAGGAAGCACCUUGGACAAAUUUUGGAAAGAGGGGCACGACUCGGAGGUAUGACCCCCAGCAAGGGCCAUCACAGCUGCGCUGACAAGCAAGUGUAAGUUGGUGAUGGUGCCACCGUGUCAGAGUUCGGAGACUACCCUUGGAAGCACAAAUUGGACAAAGUGCCUUGUGCCACUGGUGUUUCAACACCAGGGAUGUGAUUUUUCUCUAUAGUUUGUAGUACAUUAGACAAUUUUGUAUGCUAUUCAGUAAUUAAUGCUAAAGUUUAUUCCUACAGCUUGUACAUGAACAGGUCCCUGUUUACCGAUGGCGAAAACUCAUCCUUGAUCCAGCUUACUCCUGCAAAUGUUGACCAACAGACAAUUCUCUUCAUGCCUUAUUCAUAACAUCAAAUUUCUCAACCUGAUGGCAUCUAUCAAGGAUCUCUAAAGCCGAUGGAUUAAACUUGUGUUUUUCUCGUGUGUUCAGUAUACAUGGUUAUCUUCAUAGGCUAAUUUCACUUUUGAUAACUGAUGAUAAAGCGACAAUGGAAUCAGAAGGCCCAAAAAACUUCAUCAUUCAUUCUGCAAGCUGCCUAAAGAAAAAACAGCACCACUGAAACCAUCUCUGGUUCAUUAAUUGGUUCAGAUAAUCAAAUUAUUCAAUUGAAACAUGUGAGAAAUUAUUAUAAAAAGAAUCUGGAUGCAUCAUAUUAAAAGUGGAAUAGGGGCAGCGGCAUCGAUCCUUCGUAAUGACCAUCUGCUGGAAGGCGACGCGGUUGGCGAUAAUUUGCUUAGCUCUUUCGAUGACGCCACAUGGGCAUUCGUGAAUUCCGAGUAAGCCGCAACCCGGUUUGACAGGGUGAGGGAUGCGGGAGUGGUUGACAAUGAGGUGGCCCUGUCUAAGGGCACCCAGUAGAGUGAGAAAGGAACAUUGUUUCUGUAAAAAAAAUGAUAUUUAGACUUUCAGAGCACCCCCUGCACUACGUGAGAUUUAGAAGGUGGUAUGGCCGGCGGAUGCAUCCAUGUGCUAAUCAUCUGGCACCAAGCGGACGGAGCCGAACGAGUUGGGGCCACCAGCUGGCUGACAACGCACACAUGGGCGAGCAUGAGCAACAUGAAGCUAGGGAGUAAGCUGGGAGCGGAUGGACGGGGCGUGAGGUAGAAAAGGGGUGGGGAGCGGGCGGACCGUGGACAUAAGAGAACAACACCGGGUUUUUUAAUUACUUUAUGCACGAUCACAUAUUUAUCUCUUUAUUUAUGUGGCUUAUCAGGCUUGACGCACGAUCACAGAUUUAUCUCUUUAUUUAUGUGGGUGGGCAGAAACAUCCUUUCUAAAGUUUUCUUGGGGCUGUAUUGACGAACAACUUGUUCAGUGAUACCAACCCCUUUGAGCUCCCUCAACCCUUCGACAACACUUAUUCAGUUUCUCACCACAAGUAGUAAGAGACAUGAUCAGAUCACUAACCAGUGAUGAAGGCGUUAUGUGGUCGUUGACGUCAUGCUAAAUGUUGGUGUAGUGCCAAAUAAGAAGAUACAGAACAAAAUCCCUAAGCUAGACAUUAUGGUAUAAUGGAAAUUUGAGGAUGUAGGUGGAUGUGGGCGCUGUGGCCGCCACCAAGGAUGUAGGGGUCACGCCCCAAGCUGCAAGUACGUGGUAGGUGCAUCAAAACUGACGAGGACAUGGGAGCCACACUGCAGCAUGAGUGUUUUUCAUAAUUUAUUUAGGCCUAUGUACUGGAUGAUAUUUUCAUUGCUGGCAGUCUUCAUCAACCUAUCUACGAGGACAUUGAUAUACUAAUUGUUGCACAAGUGUUCUCAGCACCGGCUAACAAGAAGAGAGUAUGAUUGUUUAAUGCUCCCUGUUGUAAGCUUGUUUCACGAGGAGCUUCUCAGUGUUGUACAUGUAGGGUGUGGAUAAUAUAAAUAAAAUCUAUUUGUUCAUUCUUCUA